GUCCCACACCCCUCAUCAUUCCCUCACUCUCACUCUCUCUCUCUCUCUCUCUCUCACUCCGACGCGGCACACGUUUCUCUCUCCGGCGCACUCAACUCUCUCCGGUUGCUAUCUCUCUGGCGUACCUCUCUCCGGAAUAUGUCUUCAUUUGCUGCUUGAGUGCUGGGAUAUCCCUAUUUUGGGUUUUUGCCUUGGACACCAGGGAAGGAGUAACUUGUGAUAGUGACAUCGAGAUGGAUAAGAGUUGGAUGCAAGAACCUAUUCGAUGUUCAGAUCGAUAUCUAAAAGGACUUGAAGAAUUCCUUACAAUGGCGCGUCCAUGUGUGGAUGUAAAUAGUAUUAUGAGGUGUCCAUGUUGUGAUUGUGCAAAUCGAUAUUUUCGUCAUAUUGAAUUGGUGGAGAGUCACUUCCAUAUGCAAUGCUUGCACCAACUUGUUUUAAUGGUUUAGCUAUUAUUCCUUUGCUU